rnacentral:rRNA from 1 species
UACAGAGGUCUCAAGCGUUGUUCGGAUUCAUUGGGCGUAAAGGGCGCGUAGGUGGCGCUCCAAGUCCGUGGUGAAAGCUCGAUGCUUAACAUCGAGUCGGCCACGGAGACUGGAGGGCUCGAGCACUGUAGGGGCAGAUGGAAUUCCGGGUGUAGCGGUGGAAUGCGUAGAGAUCCGGAAGAACACCGGUGGCGAAGGCGGCGCUG